CUGGGAUUGCUGCGUAGGAUCAGCCCAUGUCCUCUCCUCACCUUGUUCUCUGUCUGGUUCUCUUUAUUCUUAGGUCUCGGUCGGCAGUAGAACCCAGGCAAGCUCUCAGGGUGGGUCCCAGAGGUGCUGGUGGGUCCAGCCGCAACGGAUGUCCAGGAAGAGGAGGGAGGUGAAGGGCUCGUGCUGCCCGAUGCCCGACUACUCUGGGCCAGCCACUCAAUGGAGAAAUGUCCCCUCAUGUUUGGAUGAUGUUCCAGAAAUGCGGACACAGUUCUCAGAGCUGGUUUUCACAACUGCAGAAAUUAAGACGUCUCAAUCGGCCUGAAUGAGGCCAUUACCCGCUGGCUCCAGUGAGUCUGGAGAGCCUCUCCCCCACACACAGUCACAUCCUUGCUGUCCUCACCUCCUCUCUCAAUCAGGGUUGUGCUCAAUUCGAAUUGAAUUAAGUGAUUUGAAUUUGAAAUUCAGAAAUGUAAAAAUGUUUUAAAUAAAUAGCUUCCACUUUACAGUUUAUUGAGA